UGGGUCUAACGUUAAACUAGUCGCUCCCCACAUAUGUGUGAGUUGAAAACGUAAUAUCGUGUUUAAUUUAGUAACGAGAAAUAUAUUUUGAGGACAGGACAACAUAUUUUGUGAGUAGGUGGAAUUUUAAUAUCACCAAUUUUACUUUUUAAGCCGAGGUAUAGAAUGAAACGAAGAAAAAGAAAGGGUCAAGUCAAAGAUUUUAAACUGAAGUUAACAUUGUUGUUGAGAGAAUAUUUAUAGUGCAUUAGAAAAACGCUUGCAAAAUGCCAUUUCGAAAUGGAAAACUUCCUAAUGACCAAUAUAACAGGAUACAGGAUAAUUAUACUUAUCUUAUAGAGGAUAUUAAACAUGACCCUGUUGGUCUUGCUCGUUUAUUAUUUCAAAAGCGUGUCUUCGAAGAUAAUGAUGUAGAAAUAAUAGAACGAUCUGUCUUGGGUAGUAAUUCAGAUGCUGCCGCUAAACUAUUGAAAAUAGUUUUAUACUCGGGUGACACAGCUUAUGGAAAAUUUAUUGAUGCAUUAAAGGAAAAUGGUUAUUCCGCAGCUGUUAGACGAUUAAUAUCAAACAAAGAAUUAAAGGCAGUCCAUGAACCAAAAGCAGGGAACCCCGAGGAUAGAUUUGGGAAGAGAGGGGUGGUUACAGAAAAAUUACAUAGCAUAGUCGAAAAAGGGAGACCACCCGAGGACAUGUACGAAAGGAUCCGUACCAAUUAUG